rnacentral:rRNA from 1 species
GAUGAACGCUAGCGGCAGGCUUAACACAUGCAAGUCGAGGGGUAGAAGUUGCUUGCAACUUUGAGACCGGCGCACGGGUGCGUAACGCGUAUGCAACCUACCUUUUACAGAGGGAUAGCCCAGAGAAAUUUGGAUUAAUACCUCAUAGUAUAUAAUCUUCGCAUGUUGGUUAUAUUAAAGUUCCAACGGUAAAAGAUGGGCAUGCGUCCUAUUAGCUAGUUGGUGUGGUAACGGCACACCAAGGCGACGAUAGGUAGGGGUCCUGAGAGGGAGAUCCCCCACACUGGUACUGAGACACGGACCAGACUCCUACGGGAGGCAGCAGUGAGGAAUAUUGGACAAUGGGCGCAAGCCUGAUCCAGCCAUGCCGCGUGCAGGAAGAAGCAUCUAUGGUGUGUAAACUGCUUUUGUACAGGAAGAAACACCCCUUCGUGAAGGGGCUUGACGGUACUGUAAGAAUAAGGAUCGGCUAACUCCGUGCCAGCCGCCGCCGUAAUAC